rnacentral:rRNA from 1 species
UAGUCCACGCCGUAAACGAUGAUAACUAGCUGUCCGGGCUCAUAGAGCGUGGGUGGCGCAGCUAACGCAUUAAGUUAUCCGCCUGGGGAGUACGGUCGCAAGAUUAAAACUCAAAGGAAUUGACGGGGGCCUGCACAAGCGGUGGAGCAUGUGGUUUAAUUCGAAGCAACGCGCAGAACCUUACCAGCCUUUGACAUCCUGGUCGCGGAUAAGAGAGAUCUUUUCCUUCAGUUCGGCUGGACCAGUGACAGGUGCUGCAUGGCUGUCGUCAGCUCGUGUCGUGAGAUUUUGGGUUAAGUCCCGCAACGAGCGCAACCCUCACUGUUAGUUGCCAGCAUUUAGUUGGGCACUCUAGCGGAACUGCCGGUGCUAAGCCGGAGGAAGGUGGGGGAUGACGUCAA